rnacentral:rRNA from 1 species
GACGUAGUUGUCUGGUCUGCCUAACGGUAAGAACCGGUUAAUUGCGUCUUCCUUUCUGGAGAUUCUGGCUGUUCUUAACUGGAUGGCCAGGAAAACCAGGACUUUUACUUUGAAAAAAUUAGAGUGUUCAAAGCAGGCGUGACGCCCGAAUACGUUAGCAUGGAAUAACGAAAUAGGACGCGCGGUUCUAUUUUGUUGGUUUCUAGAGUCGCCGUA